UACGGAGGGUGCAAGCGUUGCUCGGAAUUAUUGGGCGUAAAGGGUAGGUAGGUGGUCUCAUUUGUCAGGGGUGAAAGCCUUGGGCUUAACUCAAGAAGUGCCCCUGAAACGGUGAGACUGGAGUCCUGGAGAGGGUCGUGGAAUUCCCGGUGUAGCGGUGAAAUGCGCAGAUAUCAGGAGGAACACCGGUGGCGAAGGCGGAUCUCUGGGCCUUACCUGACGCUCAGGUGCGAAAGCUAGGGGAGCGAACAGG
rnacentral:rRNA from 1 species